rnacentral:rRNA from 1 species
UACGGGGGGGGCAAGCGUUGUUCGGAAUUACUGGGCGUAAAGGGCGCGUAGGCGGCUCGCUAAGUCGGAUGUGAAAACUCUGGGCUCAACCCAGAGCCUGCAUUCGAAACUGACGAGCUCGAGUUCUGGAGGGGAAAGCGGAAUUCCUGGUGUAGCGGUGGAAUGCGUAGAUAUCAGGAGGAACACCGGUGGCGAAGGCGGCUUUCUGGACAGAAACUGACGCUGAUGCGCGAAAGCUAGGGGAGCAAACAGG